UGUCAAAUCAGUUCUUUGUUGUUUUGUUUACAUUCCAUCGUUUGGUGGUUUUCCAACGUUUCGUCGUCUCGGUGUGAUCAUAAAGUGCUGUUUAUGGUAUACCUACCUACUUGCAAAGUAAAGAACAGUCGAGUUGAGAGCACCCUAUGCCUCCCCCUCUUUUCUUUAGUAUUGUGAUACUAUCUUAGCGAAAGGAUGCUUGUUUGUGUAUUGUGAUCUGUUUGUAACCAUGUCUCUUCUACGCUGCAUCAACUGCGAUAUUCGAGUGACUCGAAUUAGGCGGCAUCUACUCCUGGAAGAGAGUGAGGCUCUUACAGAAGUUAUGAGACUGUGAACAUAUCCAAGAGAGAUCACAAACACUGACUAUUUGCCAUGCCUCUUGGGAACUUGGAAAUGCUCAAGUCACUGGAGCAAACAUUGUUGAGAAUCAAGAGAGGCUAAUUGGUCUUCACAACAUUUGUGUAGGAUGCGGCCGCUCGAUUUUCAGUCAGUUCUCGCACAAUAUUGAGAGAAACUCCUACAAAUGAAGAAGGCCCAAUAGUUGAUAUUAUAUCACAGUGGAUACAUCCAAGACAGAUCAACCUCAUGGAUAGUAUUUGCCAUGCUUGUUGGCAACUUGCAAAUGAAGCAACACGGCAAGGUUCUGAGUCACCAGGGACUGCAUCCCAUCCAUUGCAGACAGAUGACUCUCCUGACUCACAUGAACUACAGGAAGAUAAUCAUGAGGAGGCGUGCCAUCAUAGGAUAUUGUUGCAACUGUAUUGUGGAUUUGAGGACAGUAGGGUGUUGCUCACAUGUGAUGAGUAUCGUAUGGUAUUUAGCCUAUGCUCGUCACUUAGACAAUAUAUCACCACCUGCACAAGUGUUAGAUGGAAUUCUUGUAAGAAUAAACAUUGAAUAAAUCAGUAUAUUGAUUUUAA